AUUUGGAUAGAUUUGAAUUGUUUGAAAAAGUCCUAAUUUGUGGGAUUUAUUCAUGGAAAAUAAAUCAUAGAUUUUCUUUUCGACUAUUUAAUAUAUGUAUCUUCUCAUAAAAAUAAAAAUUAAAAAAGCCCAAAUCCCUUUCGGUGUCUCUUUUUCCUGCAAAAAGCUUGAAUCCCUUUGGGUGAUUUACAAUCUCCCCUCGUCCCUUUGGGUGCCAAAACCCAAAUUCACUAUAGUUUUUCUCUUUAUCACCACUAUUUUGGAAACGUUUAUGCUGCACAGUGUGCACAUCCAUAUUGCCG
rnacentral:lncRNA from 1 species